AAGACCUUGCACUUUUGGAGCGGCCGAUGUCUGAUUAGCUAGUUGGUGGGGUGAUGGCCUACCAAAGCUUCGAUCAGUAGCUGGUCUGAGAGGACGGCCAGCCACACUGGGACUGAGACACGGCCCAGACUCCUACGGGAGGCAGCAGUGGGGAAUUUUGGACAAUGGGGGCAACCCUGAUCCAGCCAUGCCGCGUGAGUGAAGAAGGCCUUCGGGUUGUAAAGCUCUUUCAGCCGGAACGAAACGGUUACGGUUAAUACCCGUGACUACUGACGGUACCGGAAGAAGAAGCACCGGCUAACUACGUGCCAGCAGCCGCGGUAAUACGUAGGGUGCGAGCGUUAAUCGGAAUUACUGGGCGUAAAGCGUGCGCAGGUGGUUUUGUAAGUCAGAUGUGAAAUCCCCGGGCUUAACCUGGAACU
rnacentral:rRNA from 1 species